rnacentral:snRNA from 1 species
AUACCUUUCUCGGCCUUUUGGCUAAGAUCAAGUGUAGUAUCUGUUCUUAUCAGUUUAAUAUCUGAUAUAUGGGUCAUCGGCCCAUACGAUAUUAACUCUAUUUUAUUAGGGAGAAGGCCCGUUAAGAUAGCUUGCUAUCUGGGCUUUCGCGAGUCGCCCAUGCGUUGCACUACUGCACGGGCCUGGCUCAACCCGC